GCCCCCUUGGCGAAAUUGGUAGACGCAGCGGACUUAAAAUCCGUCGGCCUUCGGGCCUUGCCGGUUCAAGUCCGGCAGGGGGCA
rnacentral:tRNA from 1 species